CAGUAGCCACGGUAAUACGGAGGGAGCUAGCGUUGUUCGGAAUCACUGGGCGUAAAGCGCACGUAGGCGGCUAUUCAAGUCAGGGGUGAAAGCCCGGGGCUCAACCCCGGAACUGCCUUUGAAACUAGAUAGCUUGAAUCUUGGAGAGGCGAGUGGAAUUCCGAGUGUAGAGGUGAAAUUCGUAGAUAUUCGGAAGAACACCAGUGGCGAAGGCGACUCGCUGGACAAGUAUUGACGCUGAGGUGCGAAAGCGUGGGGAGCAAACAGGAUUAGAUACCCCCGUAGUCCCUGUCUCUUAUAC
rnacentral:rRNA from 1 species